rnacentral:tRNA from 1 species
GGGAAAGUGGCUGAGCGGUUUAAGGCGACAGACUGUAAAUCUGCUGAUUGUUUUCAUCGCAGGUUCGAAUCCUGCCUUUCCCA